ensembl:lncRNA
GUUCAAAGUCCCUGAGGUGGAACAAAACAUCAGCAAGUUCAGUAAAUUGAAAGAAGACCAGAAUCUUCUUGGUGCACACUGAGCAUGGAAAGUGCCUGUGAGAUGCUCGAGUCCAAUUAUGUAAGGCCUUCGAGACUAUGAGGGCCCCCAAACUGCAUAAGCUUCAGGACCCAUGAGACCUGGAUCAUCUCCUGCUUUUAAAUAUCAAGCUGGAGAAGUUGGCUUCUCUCCCGGAGGCAAUCGGGAACCAUCACAGGAUUAUGGCAGAAGAAUGGAACAAUCAGACCCGUACUGAGAGGCAGUAUGCUAGAGCAGAAUCACAUUGGCUCAUGAGAGGAGCCCCAGUCAAGAACUUAGAAGGGCAGAGUGAAAAUUAUUUUUCCUCCCUACAUUGGCCAUUUGUACGUCAUCACUGGAGAAACGUCUAUUCAGAUGCUUUGCCCAUUUUUAAAUUGGGUUGUCUUUUAUUAUUGAGUUGUAUGAGUUCUUUAUAUAUUCUGGAUACAUUCCCUUAUCAGAUAUACGAGGUCUAAAAAUUUUCUCCCACUCUGUAGGUUGUCUUUUCACUUUCUGGAUGGUAUCGUUAGCAGCACAGUUUUCUGAUGCAUUUUGAUGAAGUCCAGUUUAUCUUUUUUGUCACUUGUGCUUUUGGUGUCAUAUCUAAGAAAUCACUGCCUAAUCCAAAGUCAUGAAGAUUUACUCUUAUGCUUUAUUCUGAGAGUUCUAUGCUGUGAGUCCUCCAACUUGGUUCAAGAUUGUUUUGGCUUUGCUGGGUCCCUUGACCUUCCAUAUAAACCUGAAAAUCAGCCUAUCAAUUUCUGCAAAAAAGUUAGCUGGGAUUGUGAUAGUGAUUACACUGAAUCUGGAAAUCAUCACUCAUACUGUUUUAUAACCUGCUUUUUUUUCAGUUAAAUAUAUUGUGGACAUCUUUCCAUUUCAAUAAUUACAGAGUAUCAUGAUCUUUUUCUUAAGUAACAAUUCAACAAAUAUUUAUUAAACAAUUACAAGACAUGAGGUGGUCUGGUUGCUGGUUAUACCCAGGUGAAUCAGGCACGUAUCCCACCUGUAAAAAGGAGCUUUCUACCUGAGAAUGGAAAUAGGACAUGAACACAAAGAACUAUAUUCCAAGUAUGAGAGAGAUAUCAAUAAAAUGCUACCAAAAAAAGAUUAUUUGCAGAUAUGAGGAAGAAGGUAAGGCUUCCAUGUACAUAUAGUCAUUUAGCUAGAUUAGAGUUUCUCAACUUUAGCACUAUUAGCACUUGGGGAUCAUUCUUUGCAGUGGAGACUGUCCUGUGCACUAGGAUGUUGAGCAGCGUCCCUGGCCUCUACCCACUAGAUGCCAGAAGCACUCUCCUCUUCCAGUUGUGACAACCCACAAUGUCUCCGGAUGUUGGCAAAUGUCAUCAGGGAGGCAAAAUCAUCCCUGGUUGAGAACCACUGAGCUAGACCUUACAUCAUCAUUUUUAAUGGCUGAGUAGUGCAUCCCAUGGAUAAUCCACAAUCAAUGCAACUAGUACUCUAUAACUGCACAUUCCUGAUGCGUCAAAUUUUCCACUAUUUUUAAUAAAAC